rnacentral:lncRNA from 1 species
UGGCAUGGAACAAGCAUCGUUUGAGGGUGUGUCCGAUGACAGAGAUCCGUGGUUGACGAUGUCCGGCGGUGGUAAUGGUGGUAUAGGGGGCUGAUGAUGGUGGUUCCGGCGGUGGUAGUAGUGUGCUUUUUGGUUUUGUUAUUUUUUUAAAGGUUCUUGAGGUACCAUAUGUUUUAUGGUUGCCAUAAAAAUGUUGAAUUUUUGUGGGAUAAGAAAUAGUGAUUUUAAUUUUGUUCAAAUAUGAGAAUUAU